AUACGUAGGUGACAAGCGUUAUCCGGAAUUAUUGGGCGUAAAGAGUGAGCAGGCGGUUAAUUAAGUCUGAGGUUAAAGCGUGGGGCUCAACCCCAUAAAGCCUUGGAAAAUGAUUGAAUAGAGUACGGGAGAAGGUAAGGGGACUCCAUGUGGAGCGGUGAAAUGCGUAGAUAUAUGGAAGAACACCAGUGGCGAAGGCGCUUCACUAGCCCGAAACUGACGCUCAGUCACGAAAGCGUGGGUAGCAAAUAGGAUUAGAUACCCUAGUAGUCCACGCUGUAAACGAUGACAACUAAAUAUUGCCGCGAGGCAGUGUUGAAGCUAACGCAUUAAGUUGUCCGCCUGGGGAGUACGGUCGCAAGACUGAAACUUAAAGGAAUUGACGGGG
rnacentral:rRNA from 1 species